UACGUAGGUGGCAAGCGUUGUCCGGAUUUAUUGGGCGUAAAGCGCGCGCAGGUGGUUCGUUGCGUCCGAGGUGAAAUCUCCCGGCUCAACUGGGAGGGGUCUUCGGAUACGGGCGGACUUGAGGAGAGCAGAGGUAGGCGGAAUUCUGGGUGUAGUGGUGAAAUGCGUAGAUAUCCAGAGGAACACCAGUGGCGAAGGCGGCCUACUGGGCUCCACCUGACACUGAGGCGCGAAAGCGUGGGGAGCGAACCGG
rnacentral:rRNA from 2 species